GGUUAAGCGACUAAGCGUACACGGUGGAUGCCCUGGCAGUCAGAGGCGAUGAAGGACGUGCUAAUCUGCGAUAAGCGCCGGUAAGGUGAUAUGAACCGUUAUAACCGGCGAUUUCCGAAUGGGGAAACCCAGUGUGAUUCGUCACACUAUCAUUAACUGAAUCCAUAGGUUAAUGAGGCGAACCGGGGGAACUGAAACAUCUAAGUACCCCGAGGAAAAGAAAUCAACCGAGAUUCCCCCAGUAGCGGCGAGCGAACGGGGAGGAGCCCAGAGCCUGAAUCAGCAUGUGUGUUAGUGGAAGCGUCUGGAAAGGCGCGCGAUACAGGGUGACAGCCCCGUACACAAAAGCGCAUGUGCUGUGAGCUCGAUGAGUAGGGCGGGACACGUGGUAUCCUGUCUGAAUAUGGGGGGACCAUCCUCCAAGGCUAAAUACUCCUGACUGACCGAUAGUGAACCAGUACCGUGAGGGAAAGGCGAAAAGAACCCCGGCGAGGGGAGUGAAAAAGAACCUGAAACCGUGUACGUACAAGCAGUGGGAGCACAGGUUUACCUGUGUGACUGCGUACCUUUUGUAUAAUGGGUCAGCGACUUAUAUUCUGUAGCAAGGUUAACCGUAUAGGGGAGCCGGAGGGAAACCGAGUCUUAACCGGGCGUUAAGUUGCAGGGUAUAGACCCGAAACCCGGUGAUCUAGCCAUGGGCAGGUUGAAGGUUGGGUAACACUAACUGGAGGACCGAACCGACUAAUGUUGAAAAAUUAGCGGAUGACCUGUGGCUGGGGGUGAAAGGCCAAUCAAACCGGGAGAUAGCUGGUUCUCCCCGAAAGCUAUUUAGGUAGCGCCUCGUGAAUUCAUCUCCGGGGGUAGAGCACUGUUUCGGCUAGGGGGCCAUCCCGGCUUACCAACCCGAUGCAAACUGCGAAUACCGGAGAAUGUUAUCACGGGAGACACACGGCGGGUGCUAACGUCCGUCGUGAAGAGGGAAACAACCCAGACCGCCAGCUAAGGUCCCAAAGUCAUGGUUAAGUGGGAAACGAUGUGGGAAGGCCCAGACAGCCAGGAUGUUGGCUUAGAAGCAGCCAUCAUUUAAAGAAAGCGUAAUAGCUCACUGGUCGAGUCGGCCUGCGCGGAAGAUGUAACGGGGCUAAACCAUGCACCGAAGCUGCGGCAGCGAACGUAUCACCCAAGACAACUUUACGGAGUUGACGAUUGACGGAGCGAAGCGACGUCAAAGCGUUCAUUAAAGUCGAGUUGGCUUAGGGAUACGUUCGUUGGGUAGGGGAGCGUUCUGUAAGCCUGUGAAGGUGUGUCGUGAGGCAUGCUGGAGGUAUCAGAAGUGCGAAUGCUGACAUAAGUAACGAUAAAGCGGGUGAAAAGCCCGCUCGCCGGAAGACCAAGGGUUCCUGUCCAACGUUAAUCGGGGCAGGGUGAGUCGACCCCUAAGGCGAGGCCGAAAGGCGUAGUCGAUGGGAAACGGGUUAAUAUUCCCGUACUUGGUGUUACUGCGAAGGGGGGACGGAGAAGGCUAUGUUGGCCGGGCGACGGUUGUCCCGGUUUAAGCGUGUAGGUGUGUGUUCCAGGUAAAUCCGGUUCACUUUAACACUGAGGCGUGACGACGAGGCACUACGGUGCUGAAGCAACAAAUGCCCUGCUUCCAGGAAAAGCCUCUAAGCAUCAGGUAACAUCAAAUCGUACCCCAAACCGACACAGGUGGUCAGGUAGAGAAUACCAAGGCGCUUGAGAGAACUCGGGUGAAGGAACUAGGCAAAAUGGUGCCGUAACUUCGGGAGAAGGCACGCUGACACGUAGGUGAAGUGAUUUACUCAUGGAGCUGAAGUCAGUCGAAGAUACCAGCUGGCUGCAACUGUUUAUUAAAAACACAGCACUGUGCAAACACGAAAGUGGACGUAUACGGUGUGACGCCUGCCCGGUGCCGGAAGGUUAAUUGAUGGGGUCAGCGCAAGCGAAGCUCCUGAUCGAAGCCCCGGUAAACGGCGGCCGUAACUAUAACGGUCCUAAGGUAGCGAAAUUCCUUGUCGGGUAAGUUCCGACCUGCACGAAUGGCGUAAUGAUGGCCAGGCUGUCUCCACCCGAGACUCAGUGAAAUUGAACUCGCUGUGAAGAUGCAGUGUACCCGCGGCAAGACGGAAAGACCCCGUGAACCUUUACUAUAGCUUGACACUGAACAUUGAGCCUUGAUGUGUAGGAUAGGUGGGAGGCUUUGAAGUGUGGACGCCAGUCUGCAUGGAGCCGACCUUGAAAUACCACCCUUUAAUGUUUGAUGUUCUAACGUGGACCCGUAAUCCGGGUUGCGGACAGUGUCUGGUGGGUAGUUUGACUGGGGCGGUCUCCUCCUAAAGAGUAACGGAGGAGCACGAAGGUUGGCUAAUCCUGGUCGGACAUCAGGAGGUUAGUGCAAUGGCAUAAGCCAGCUUGACUGCGAGCGUGACGGCGCGAGCAGGUGCGAAAGCAGGUCAUAGUGAUCCGGUGGUUCUGAAUGGAAGGGCCAUCGCUCAACGGAUAAAAGGUACUCCGGGGAUAACAGGCUGAUACCGCCCAAGAGUUCAUAUCGACGGCGGUGUUUGGCACCUCGAUGUCGGCUCAUCACAUCCUGGGGCUGAAGUAGGUCCCAAGGGUAUGGCUGUUCGCCAUUUAAAGUGGUACGCGAGCUGGGUUUAGAACGUCGUGAGACAGUUCGGUCCCUAUCUGCCGUGGGCGCUGGAGAACUGAGGGGGGCUGCUCCUAGUACGAGAGGACCGGAGUGGACGCAUCACUGGUGUUCGGGUUGUCAUGCCAAUGGCACUGCCCGGUAGCUAAAUGCGGAAGAGAUAAGUGCUGAAAGCAUCUAAGCACGAAACUUGCCCCGAGAUGAGUUCUCCCUGAGACUUAGAGUCUCCUGAAGGAACGUUGAAGACGACGACGUUGAUAGGCCGGGUGUGUAAGCGCAGCGAUGCGUUGAGCUAACCGGUACUAAUGAACCGUGAGGCUUAACCUU
rnacentral:rRNA from 1 species